rnacentral:rRNA from 1 species
GACGAACGCUGGCGGCGUGCUUAACACAUGCAAGUCGAACGCGCCUGUCCUCUGGGUUUCUGGGGGGUGGGUGAGUGGCGAACGGGUGAGUAACACGUGAGUAACCUGCCCCCUUCUUCGGGAUAACGGUCUGAAAGGGCUGCUAAUACCGGGUAUUCACUGGUCUCCGCAUGGGGUCUGGUGGAAAGGUUUUUUUCUGGUGGGGGAUGGGCUCGCGGCCUAUCAGCUUGUUGGUGGGGUGAUGGCCCACCAAGGCUUUGACGGGUAGCCGGCCUGAGAGGGUGACCGGUCACAUUGGGACUGAGAUACGGCCCAGACUCCUACGGGAGGCAGCAGUGGGGAAUAUUGCACAAUGGGCGCAAGCCUGACGCAGCGACGCCGCGUGAGGGAUGGAGGCCUUCGGGUUGUGAACCUCUUUCGCCCGUGGUCAAGCCGCGACGUGGGUCGUGGUGAGGGUAGUGGGUAAAGAAGCGCCGGCUAACUACGUG